UACGGGGGGGGCAAGCGUUGUUCGGAAUUACUGGGCGUAAAGGGCUCGUAGGCGGCCAACUAAGUCAGACGUGAAAUCCCUCGGCUUAACCGGGGAACUGCGUCUGAUACUGGAUGGCUUGAAUCCGGGAGAGGGAUGCGGAAUUCCAGGUGUAGCGGUGAAAUGCGUAGAUAUCUGGAGGAACACCGGUGACGAAGGGCGGCAUCCUGGACCGGCAUUGACGCUGAGGAGCGAAAGCCAGGGGAGCAAACGGGG
rnacentral:rRNA from 1 species